rnacentral:rRNA from 1 species
AUGACCAGAGUUCCGCGAGUAUAUAUAGCCCGGAGACGACGAAUAAAAAUGUGUUCAUUCGCCUCGAACUUUAGAGGGGCUCAUUGAAGACUUUAUUGAAUGAUUACCCAACAGGUAAGUGAGGGUCUGUGUUGGAGAUGA